AGUGACGAUAGCCUAGGAGAUACACCUGUACCCAUGCCGAACACAGCAGUUAAAGCCCUAGAACGCCUGAAGUAGUUGGGGGGUUGCCCCCUGUUAGAUACGGUAGUCGCUUAGCAAAUUGGGAGUUUAGCUCAGCUGGGAGAGCA
rnacentral:rRNA from 1 species